rnacentral:misc_RNA from 1 species
AAGUAAAAAGUCGUAACAAGGUUUCCGUAGGUGAACCUGCGGAAGGAUCAUUACUGAGUGAGGGCCCUCUGGGUCCAACCUCCCACCCGUGUUUAUUGUACCUUGUUGCUUCGGCGGGCCCGCCUUUAUGGCCGCCGGGGGGCUUACGCUCCCGGGCCCGCGCCCGCCGAAGACACCCUCGAACUCUGUCUGAAGAUUGUAGUCUGAGUGAAAAUAUAAAUUAUUUAAAACUUUCAACAACGGAUCUCUUGGUUCCGGCAUCGAUGAAGAACGCAGCGAAAUGCGAUACGUAAUGUGAAUUGCAGAAUUCAGUGAAUCAUCGAGUCUUUGAACGCACAUUGCGCCCCCUGGUAUUCCGGGGGGCAUGCCUGUCCGAGCGUCAUUGCUGCCCUCAAGCACGGCUUGUGUGUUGGGCCCCGUCCUCCGAUCCCGGGGGACGGGCCCGAAAGGCAGCGGCGGCACCGCGUCCGGUCCUCGAGCGUAUGGGGCUUUGUCACCCGCUCUGUAGGCCCGGCCGGCGCUUGCCGAUCAACCAAAAUUUUUUCCAGGUUGACCUCGGAUCAGGUAGGGAUACCCGCUGAACUUAAG